rnacentral:rRNA from 1 species
AGGAUGAACGCUGGCGGUCUGCUUAACACAUGCAAGUCGAACGGAGUACCUCGGUACUUAGUGGCGGACGGGUGAGUAACGCGUGAGAAUCUGCCCUUAGGUCGGGGACAACCAUUGGAAACGAUGGCUAAUACCGGAUAAGCCGAGAGGUAAAAGAUUAAUUGCCUAGGGAAGAGCUCGCGUCUGAUUAGCUAGUUGGUGAGGUAAAGGCUCACCAAGGCAUCGAUCAGUAGCUGGUCUGAGAGGAUGAUCAGCCACACUGGGACUGAGACACGGCCCAGACUCCUACGGGAGGCAGCAGUGGGGAAUUUUCCGCAAUGGGCGAAAGCCUGACGGAGCAAGACCGCGUGAGGGAGGAAGGCUCGUUGGGUUGUAAACCUCUUUUCUUGGGGAAGAACAAAAUGACGGUACCCAAGGAAUCAGCAUCGGCUAACUCCGUGCCAGCAGCCGC